GACGAACGCUGGCGGCGUGCUUAACACAUGCAAGUCGAGCGGAGCGGCGAACGGGUGAGUAACGCGUGAGUAACUGCCCCCCUCUCUGGGAUAACAGUUGGAAACGGCUGCUAAUACCGGAUAGUGGGGGAUGACUCGCGUCCUAUCAGCUUGUUGGUGGGGUAGUGGCCUACAAAGGCGACGACGGGUAGCCGGCCUGAGAGGGAGACCGGCCAAAGUGGGCUGGGAUACGGCCCAAACACAUACGGGAGGCAGCAGUGGGGAAUAUUGCACCAUGGGGGAAACCCUGAUGCAGCAACGCGCGUGCGGGAUGACGGCCUUCGGGUUGUAAACCGCUUUCAGCCAUGACGCGGUAGUGGCAGAAGAAGAACAGGCUAACUACGAGCCAGCAGCCGCGGUAAUAC
rnacentral:rRNA from 1 species